UACUUUUUCAAAUAAAUAUUCUUUUCUUGAGAUUAAAAAGUUCCUGACUGAUGCUUGAAAAAAAACUGAGCACCUGACAUCAAGUGGACAUGUGAUCAGAGCUAUUGGUUAUGGUCUGGCUUGUUUCAAAAGCAUACCUUGAGACAGGAUUUGAGUGCAUGUGGUUUGUUCGAAAGUUGAUCUCAGAAAGCACUGGCAGGGAAGUGGAUGUGUGGGGCAGGAAAGAGAAAGGAGCUAAGGUGGGUACAUCCAUGAGCAACUCAUAAUGGCUCAGUCCCGCUAAAAUCCCCUGGGAGAUAGUGGGCCAUAGUACUUGAUGGAUGAGGAAGCCAGUGUACCUCCUUUCCAGCUCCUGUUUGUCACUGGCUGAGGGACGCUUCCAGGGGUGUUAACUCUUUCGUACUUCCACCAUUCCAGGUACACAGGCUCGCAGAAAGCCCAAACGCAGAGAAUUACUGGUGAUUGCAAGAGGAGACCAUUGGCAUAUACUAGAAUGAGAACUGGAGAAUUGCUGGAUGUGGAAAACCCACACACAUUUGGUGUCAGAAGUGUGCAGCAGAGGUUCAGCACGGACUCACUGUGACAACUUGCAGCAAGGGCCACGAGAACAUGCUCGGAAUAGCUUGCAGGUGAUCCAAGGUGGAUGACAGCUAAGUAACGCAACAGGAGCAAAUCUACAACUUGGAGCCAAGAUCAGCCAGGCUGAGUGCAGAUCAGCUGACCCCAAGCCAAGUCCAGGCAUGUGAAAAAGAGUAAGUGAUUGUUGCUGAGUCACUGAAUUAUGAGGUAUUUUCUUACAUGGCAUUAUCGUUGCAAUUUGGUGAUUGAUGCAUAAGGCUCAACAGAAUGUCCCCUGGGACACAUCUUGAUAGCAGCAACAAAUAUUCAAAUAAGAGCUUUGAAGUGUCAGAGGAGGAUUUUUUGAGAACAUGGGGCCAAGUCCCUCCUGAAACAUCAGCACAGAAAACUGUGCUGAAAAAAUCUUAUUAACUAGAAAACACCAGCGCUGACUUAACUCAGCGACUCCAAAAAUCUAGGGUCAUGCUUUCUUUAAGGCCAGCAAGCUCUGCUCUGCAUUUGACCCCUGCUGGACUGAGUUAUUUUGGAUCUGUUCUUGUGACUCUAGGGCUUAAAAUAGUCACUGCUGAGCCAUCUGUCUUGGGAUCCAUCUCACUUCUGAAAGGUAUAGCAGCUGUGGCUGAAUUGAAAGCAGCUCCUGUUAAGAAAGUGAACAAUCUCUCGGCUUUUCUCCAUCCUAUGAGUGUGCCCGAGGGAAAAAAUAAAAUAGAGGGCAUUUGGCUGUCAAAGAAGGAUAA